rnacentral:lncRNA from 1 species
UGGCUCUCAGAUCUCUCCAGCUGGUUCAGAAAGCCCUGAGAUGCCUCACAUGAGCUUAGGAGCUAGUACUCUCUGCCAGACUGCCCUCUCUUCCUCCCUCUGCCAUUCUCUCCUACAUCUCCCUGAUUCCAGAAGGAGGAAGACUUUUAAGAAGUGGCUUCUUAUUCCUCAUGCAAAGAGAACUGGGUCUUUCCUGAGUCUUGGCUACAUCUCCAUUCUUGGUUUCUGUGCAAGAUCUCUGAGUCCUUUUAAUAAAUCCACUCUGUGUGAAUACUAAAAGGAAAAUGGAAAGGAGGGCAAAUAGAAUUAGCUGAUUUUCUCAUGAGGAAUCACAGUACCAACAAGAGCUCAGAUUAACCAUAGCUGUGUGUGUGGCCAGGUGGGAGACAUGGUAACUGUAAGCAGUGAAUAUGAGACCCCCUUGCUCUUGCUGCUUUCUGAACGAAGAAAUUGGGGAAAAUAGUUGCAUGGUAGGAGGAAUUACUGGAAAUGAGAAAUAAAACACAUUGGAUAAUAUUGUGAAAUAUGUACUUGUACUCUCCUCACUACUUCACUUUCCAUGAGGA